rnacentral:misc_RNA from 1 species
GAUGAAGAACGUAGCGAAAUGCGAUACUUGGUGUGAAUUGCAGAAUCCCGUGAACCAUCGAGUCUUUGAACGCAAGUUGCGCCCGAAGCCAUUAGGCCGAGGGCACGUCUGCCUGGGCGUCACACAACGUUGCCCCCCCAAACCUCGACUUCCACGAGGACGGGGGGCGGAUGCUGGCCUCCCGUGUGCCACGGCUCGCGGUUGGCCUAAAUGCGAGUACUCGGCGACGAGCGCCGCGGCAAUCGGUGGUUGUCUAACCCUCGGUGCCAUGCUGCGCGCGCGAUUCGCUCACUGUUACUCGACGACCCCAAUGCGUCGUAGCCACGACCCUCACAACGCGACCCCAGGUCAGGCGGGGCUACCCGCUGAGUUUAAGCAUAUCAAUAAGCGGAGGA